CUCAAUAUUUUUUUAGUAAAGUAUCGAUAAUUUUUCGAUAUUAUUUCAUUAAUCGAAUUGCAUUUGGCGCCAUUGUUGAUUUACGAUGUCACUUCGAAAUAUCGUUCGAAAAACAGGUAUUAAUGCUUAUGGAUGUUUUCCUCAAUAUUUCGGCGUAAUAAAUGCAUUGUUAGGCAUGACUACGAUGGCCUGUUCUAACUUUCCAAAGUCUCUCAAUGAAUUUGGAUAUGAUUUUGAUGCAGAUGGAAGAUUAAAGAAAUUAAAUACAGAAACAGGUUUAUUGAUUAAUGAAGGUUUUGAGUUUAAUGUAAGCGAAAAUCCACAAUACAACCAAAAACGUUAUGAAGCAUUAGGUGAAGUUAUUAAUGAAUAUGUAUAUAAUUUGUUGGAAAAAGAAGGUUUAAAUAGAUUGCCAUUACCAAAACAAAGUUCUGUUACAAUAGACAAAAGGUCUUUUAUAUUUGCAUCAAAUGAUGCUUUAGAAAAUGAAAAAAUAUUAAUUUUGAUUCAUGGUAGUGGUGUUGUCAGAGCUGGACAAUGGGCUAGACGUUUAAUUAUAAAUGAUAGCCUUUUUACUGGAACUCAAAUACCAUAUAUUAGAAAAGCUAAAGAUUUGGGUUAUGGAUUGUUUGUAUUGAAUACCAAUGAUAACAUCAGAAUAAUUAAAGGGAAACCAAAUAAAAUUAAGGGUAGUGGAGAUCCACAUGAACAUUUGAAAACAGUAUGGAAUGACUAUAUUGGACCAUCAAAUUCCAAAUAUGUUGCUGUAGUAGCACACAGCUACGGUGGAGAGUGCAUAGUUAAAUUUGCAAUGGAUCAUGUUGAGGAAUUUAAAAGAAAAGUUUUUGCAGUUGGGUUAACAGAUUCUGUACAUAUUGUACCAUCUAAAGGAUUUGAACAUGUAGUGAAGAAGAAAAUGGAUGUAGAGAGAUGAUUUGACCAUCUGCGGCUUGCCGAUCGACAAAAGCUCCGCGUGGUUCUCUUUAUUAGCGUUCUACGUUACCGAGUGGUACUUCAGCUUCUCUUUUCACUCGGUAUGUGGUAUAUUUACUCAUGGAGUUUACAAUUGAAUAUUGUCUGUUGAGAAGAGCGGAAACAUACUUAAUCGAUUUUAUAGAAAAAAUUCAAGCGUAUAUAAAAAAUAUUUAUAAAAAUUUAUUCUUAAAUAGAAAUUAAGAUAAAACGUUCAUUAAAAUGGUAAAUUAAUUUUGCCAGAUGAUAGUACAUUCAUUCAUAUGAAUGACAUUUAUUCAGCCAUCGAUUUGUAGAUUUUGCAAUGAUAGUGAGACGCACAGUAUGACUUCUUGUAUUAGCUCUAUAGAGUCCAUAGCCUUUAAGUGGUAUUGAAUUGUACUUAUAUGCUCGGUCGGUGGUCGUACUUCGAAAUCUAUUUGAUAUCCUAUUUUUUUUUUUUUUGUAUUUCGACUAUGACGAAAAAAAAAAAAAUAAAGGGCCCGAUCAUCUGUUAUAAAUGUACAUAUGUACAUACGAACAACUCUUUGAUCUACUAUUGCCUAGAAUGAUCAUAGAAUGAAACGUAUAAAUAUUAAUGUUUAAUAUUUUAUACAUUUAAAUCGAUUUAAAAGUACAUUUUAAACCGAUUGAUAGGAACAAGUUAAAAAAAACCUAAAAAAAAAAAAAAAAAAAAAAAAAAAAAAAAAUAAACAAGGCAAAUUAUAAUGGCAUACGUUACUUCAUAUUUCUAAUUUAAAAAAAAAAAAAAAAAAAAAAAAAAAUCUUUAACACCUGUUUAUUUUGCAACUCGUUCCAUUGCAAAAUCAGUCCCAUUUUACAGUGUGCAUAGCAAACUGGUAAGAGAAUGGUAGAGCGACCAUCGCAUUAUCAGAGACGUCAAAUAAUCAAUUAGAGUGCCGGUGCAAACAGAAGUACCAACCGUGGUUUGUACCAAUGCGUUCUCUCUCUCUCUCUCUCUCUCUCUCUCUCUCUUUUUCUAUCCACAACUUCGGUACUUCGAGCAAAUAUAAUCGACGACAUUUCCCCCGAGGAUGCGGUCUAACUCGAUUCAACUUAACUUAGGCUCAACUUGGUUCGAUUAGUUGCUGGGAUUCGAGGACUUCGCGAAGCGCAGGUAAAGAGAAUCGAUGGCACGUUCUCGUGCUUACUACGACGAUCGUUUUACUUAAAAGGAACGUAGAAUGUCCUUUAUUACGGUGUACGGAUAAUGUGAUAGCUUCAUGUUCGAGUGAUCGACUAUGUUUACGUAACGCUAGCCGCUUUUGAGUAAACAGCAAAUGGAAUUGAUUUGGUCGGACGACAAUCGAGGAUAGUUCCCUAAAGCGAUCCUCGUCUGGAUGAGCCGCAUAUAUUCGAUUUCAUGUUGCGGUUUCCUUCUCGAUAGCACGUGCCAUAGUUUCUUGCGAGUAAGGAUAUACCAACGAAGUAAGAAGAACGUAUUAUCGUAUUUUCGUUACGGAAACGUCAUCUUCUAGUUUCGUUUUUGCGGUUGCAGAUGGUCAGAAAUCGAAUGUUUCUUUGGAAGCCUUAAAAAACGAAAGUGCGUUGUAACUUCCGACGAUAUUCUAUAUCCUUUUUUAUGAUCGAGUAAUGUUAGAUAUCCAAAAACUGGGUAUGUUCGGAUAAGCCUUUGGAUACAUCAGUGCUUUGUCCGAGUGGAGAUAUAGAGCGAGUUUCUGCUGGUCAUACCGUUCAUGAGAUGUCAUCAUCUUCGUGCAUCGAUUCUCUCUUUCGU